AUUGAACGCUGGCGGCAUGCCUUACACAUGCAAGUCGAACGGUAACGCGGGGGCAACCCUGGCGACGAGUGGCGAACGGGUGAGUAAUACAUCGGAACGUACCCAGUAGUGGGGGAUAGCUCGGCGAAAGCCGGAUUAAUACCGCAUACGACCUAUGGGUGAAAGCGGGGGAUCGCAAGACCUCGCGCUAUUGGAGCGGCCGAUGUCGGAUUAGCUAGUUGGUGAGGUAAAGGCNCACCAAGGCUACGAUCCGUAGCUGGUCUGAGAGGACGACCAGCCACACUGGGACUGAGACACGGCCCAGACUCCUACGGGAGGCAGCAGUGGGGAAUUUUGGACAAUGGGCGCAAGCCUGAUCCAGCCAUGCCGCGUGUGUGAGGAAGGCCUCGG
rnacentral:rRNA from 1 species